rnacentral:rRNA from 1 species
GUGCCAGCAGCCGCGGUAAUACGUAGGGUGCGAGCGUUAAUCGGAAUUACUGGGCGUAAAGCGUGCGCAGGCGGUUAUACAAGACAGGCGUGAAAUCCCCGGGCUUAACCUGGGAAUGGCGCCUGUGACUGUAUAGCUAGAGUGUGUCAGAGGGGGGUAGAAUUCCACGUGUAGCAGUGAAAUGCGUAGAUAUGUGGAGGAAUACCAAUGGCGAAGGCAGCCCCCUGGGAUAACACUGACGCUCAUGCACGAAAGCGUGGGGAGCAAACAGGAUUAGAAACCCUUGUAGUCC